AGCUUGCUCUCUGGGUGGCGAGUGGCGGACGGGUGAGGAAUGCAUCGGAAUCUACUCUGUCGUGGGGGAUAACGUAGGGAAACUUACGCUAAUACCGCAUACGACCUACGGGUGAAAGCAGGGGAUCUUCGGACCUUGCGCGAUUGAAUGAGCCGAUGCCCGAUUAGCUAGUUGGCGGGGUAAGAGCCCACCAAGGCGACGAUCGGUAGCUGGUCUGAGAGGAUGAUCAGCCACACUGGAACUGAGACACGGUCCAGACUCCUACGGGAGGCAGCAGUGGGGAAUAUUGGACAAUGGGCGCAAGCCUGAUCCAGCCAUACCGCGUGGGUGAAGAAGGCCUUCGGGUUGUAAAGCCCUUUUGUUGGGAAAGAAAAGCAGCCGGUUAAUACCCGGUUGUUCUGACGGUACCCAAAGAAUAAGCACCGGCUAACUUCGUGCCAGCAGCCGCGGUAAUACGAAGGGUGCAAGCGUUACUCGGAAUUACUGGGCGUAAAGCGUGCGUAGGUGGUUGUUUAAGUCUGUCGUGAAAGCCCUGGGCUCAACCUGGGAAUGGCGAUGGAAACUGGACGACUAGAGUGUGGCAGANGGUAGUGGAAUUCCUGGUGUAGCAGUGAAAUGCGUA
rnacentral:rRNA from 1 species